rnacentral:rRNA from 1 species
UGCGGAUAGAUCAUAACGCUUUGAUUUCUUUAGUUGAAGAGAACUGGAAAGUUCCGUCGUAGAAGGUAAUAACCCUGUAGGCGAAAAGGAAAGAAAAGUAGAUCUACUCCAGAGUACCACGAGACACGUGAAACCUUGUGGGAAGCUGGGAGGACCAUCUCCCAAGGCUAAAUACUACCUAGUGACCGAUAGUGAAGCAGUACCGUGAGGGAAAGGUGAAAAGAACCCCGGAAGGGGAGUGAAAUAGAAUCUGAAACCGUGUGCCUACAAUCGGUCGGAGCACAUUAAAGUGUGACGGCGUACUUUUUGUAGAACGGGCCAGCGAGUUACGAUAUAUAGCAAGGUUAAGCACUUAUGGUGUGGAGCCGAAGGGAAACCGAGUCUGAAUAGGGCAACUAGUUGUAUAUUGUAGACCCGAAACCGGGUGACCUAUCCAUGGCCAGGAUGAAGCGGAAGUAAAAUUCCGUGGAGGUCCGAACCACGUUGGUGUUGAAAAACCAUGGGAUGAGCUGUGGAUAGCGGAGAAAUUCCAAUCGAACUCGGAGAUAGCUGGUUCUCCUCGAAAUAGCUUUAGGGCUAGCGUCGGGUAAUUGAGUAGUGGAGGUAGAGCACUGAAUGGGCUAGGGGCUGACAACAGUUACUGAACCCUAUCAAACUCCGAAUGCCAUAUACUUGUACCCCGGCAGUCAGACUACGAAUGAUAAGAUCCG